UACGUAGGGAGCAAGCGUUGUUCGGAUUUACUGGGCGUAAAGGGCGCGUAGGCGGGAUGGCAAGUCGGUCGUGAAAUCCCUGGGCUCAACUCAGGGGGGUCGGCCGAUACUGCCGUUCUUGAGGGAUGCAGAGGAGACUGGAAUUCCCGGUGUAGCGGUGAAAUGUGUAGAGAUCGGGAGGAACACCGGUGGCGAAGGCGGGUCUCUGGGCAUUCCCUGACGCUGAGGCGCGAAAGCGUGGGGAGCAAACGGG
rnacentral:rRNA from 1 species